UAUCGUAGCUGAACUUCAAACAAAUUUAACACUAAGCAAUUACAAAGUACAGCUUGAUUAUAGAAAUUAACUUGUAACUGUAGGUAAGUGAUACAAAACGAACAAUCAGUCAACGAAGAAUAACGAACGAACAGCCUUUUCUCCAUCUUUCUCUCCCCUUUUUUCGAUGAAGAAUAUUCUUCUCUCGAAUCUAUCUUGCAAAAUUCGCAUUCAACUAAACAGCAAAGUUUUACAUGGUCUAAUAACAUCUGGAUACGAACAUGUUCUAAAUACUCGUCUAAAUAAACGAACUACCUAGUUAGUGUAACUCGUAAGUACAAAUUCUACAACGUUACCUACCGCGUAGUUUUGUAUCCUCUGGUCCAAAGCAAAUUCGUGGGACAAAAGAAAUGUAUUUAUUAAAUCAAUGGUUACGCUCGAACGAUUACACCUACAUACAGCUAUUUGUCGACUGAAUCUUCAAUUUUGCGUGUGUUCAUUGUGGCACGAAUAAAUGGAAUGAAUGAGUUGGUCCAGCGAACGAUAAGUUUAAAGCUAUGAUGUACCAGGGGAAAUAGGUGCAAGAUACGUCGAAUAGGUUAAGUGGAAGUCGAGGUCUGUGCGAAGUUUGCUUUUGGCUUUAAUUCUACUUUAACGAGAUUAUAAGGACAUACGAAGAUAAAUCUUGCGCCGAGAACAGUAUACGAGAUGAGAUAAGGUAUUGCGACAAUACAUAAAUAAGUAAAUAAAUAAAUAAUCUUUCGCUCUUGGAAACACUACAAAAACGCAGAACAUCUGCGAUCUUUGCUCUGAAUAAUAACUGUAAAUUAAAUUAAAUUGUAUUUGGUGCAAGGACUAUCGCUAUUUUUCUAAGCUGGUAGUUCUAAUUUCUGAACAACGUUCUAGAAAUUAUUCGAUUAUACAAAUUAGAUGAUUCAGCCUGUACGCGAUGACCAAUGAACGAAGAAGCGUCGCAUCGGUAAAUUAAAAAGGAAAACGCGACAAAAGCGUAGCUAACGAGCGCGAUGAAAGAGAGUGAAGACGACGAAGACGACAACGACGACGAUGAUGCUGAGAACAAAAGGAAACGAGAAUAAAAGACGAGUCACUGGUAGUUUCGCAAUAUCGUUGCUCGACUAGGAUAGAUAGAGAUCGGGAGACGAGCUGAGCAGCGUGGCUUCUUGCAGUUCUUGCACAUCGUGGGGAUGGAUGCACAGUCCACUGCACGUGGGAAGGUCGUGCUAUGAAUCGAAGAUCGUGAGAUCUUCGCGGAGCGCACUUUCUAUUAGAAUUCACUCGACGGAGGUUUACCUCCGUAUUGCACCGCGAUCGCGAAAUUGUCGCUAUUUACGCUAGCUAUUUGUAAUUCGUACAUACAGCUUUAUUUUCCAAUGAAACGUUCCUCUGUUCUCAGAUUCUACGAUUUAUCUUUCCAAUGAAUCCAGCGAUUUUUAGUCGUACAAAAUAUACUACGAAAUGUAAUUUGAUAAUGGGCUUAAUUAAUUAGUUGAUAAAUUUUAUAUAAUAAAUACUUGUCGAUAUACAUUACGUACAUUUUAUAAUAUUUAAUCUGUACUUUCGUAAAAUAUACUUUCGUAAGCAGAUUCACAGACGGGGAAUAGCAACUGAAGCAGCAAGACUGCUCGGAUAUUCGAACAGUAUUAUGACUUUUUGUUUUCACAUUUUAUAGAUCGUUGGGGCAUUAUUAGACUUAUACUUGGUAUAUAAUAUUCGAAAACACUGAUACGUACGGAUAGUGCGAUAAAAGACAUGUAAAUGGAUAUAGACGACCCUCUUGUAACAGAUUAAAGCGUAAAUAAAUUAUUAUCAUAUUCUACGA